ACGGAAUUGCUUAUUGCACCACAUGUGUUUUUCUUUGAAACAAACUUGCUUUGGCGGUGGGCCCAGCCUGCCGCCAGAGGUCUAAACUUACAACCAAUUUUUUAUUAACUUGUCACACCAGAUUAUUACUUAAUAGUCAAAACUUUCAACAACGGAUCUCUUGGUUCUCGCAUCGAUGAAGAACGCAGCGAAAUGCGAUACGUAAUAUGAAUUGCAGAUAUUCGUGAAUCAUCGAAUCUUUGAACGCACAUUGCGCCCUCUGGUAUUCCGGAGGGCAUGCCUGUUUGAGCGUCGUUUCUCCCUCAAACCGCUGGGUUUGGUGUUGAGCAAUACGACUUGGGUUUGCUUGAAAGACGGUAGUGGUAAGGCGGGAUCGCUUUGACAAUGGCUUAGGUCUAACCAAAAACAUUGCUUGCGGCGGUAACGUCCACCACGUAUAUCUUCAAACUUUGACCUCAAAUCAGGUAGGACUACCCGCUGAACUUAAGCAUAUCAAAGCCGGGGAGGAAA
rnacentral:rRNA from 1 species